rnacentral:rRNA from 1 species
GACGAACGCUGGCGGCGUGCUUAACACAUGCAAGUCGAACGGAAAGGCCCUGCUUUUGUGGGGUGCUCGAGUGGCGAACGGGUGAGUAACACGUGAGUAACCUACCCUUGACUUUGGGAUAACUUCAGGAAACUGGGGCUAAUACCGGAUAGGAGCUCCUGCUGCAUGGUGGGGGUUGGAAAGUUUCGGCGGUUGGGGAUGGACUCGCGGCAUAUCAGCUUGUUGGUGGGGUAGUGGCUUACCAAGGCUUUGACGGGUAGCCGGCCUGAGAGGGUGACCGGCCACAUUGGGACUGAGAUACGGCCCAGACUCCUACGGGAGGCAGCAGUGGGGAAUAUUGCACAAUGGGCGGAAGCCUGAUGCAGCAACGCCGCGUGCGGGAUGACGGCCUUCGGGUUGUAAACCGCUUUCGCCUGUGACGAAGCGUGAGUGACGGUAAUGGGUAAAAAAGCACCGGCUAACUACGUG